UACAGAGGUCCCAAGCGUUGUUCGGAUUCACUGGGCGUAAAGGGUGCGUAGGCGGUCGGGUAAGUCUGAUGUGAAAUCUCACAGCUUAACUGUGAAACUGCAUUGGAUACUAUUCGGCUUGAGAGUUGGAGGGGGGGACUGGAAUUCUUGGUGUAGCAGUGAAAUGCGUAGAUAUCAAGAGGAACACCAGUGGCGAAGGCGGCUAUCUGGACGGUUUCUGACGCUAAGACGCGAAAGCGUGGGGAGCGAACAGG
rnacentral:rRNA from 1 species